CGUCAAAGCUUUAUUAAUUAUACAACAAAUCCCUAAAAAAUUAAAGAACCCCACACUAGUACUGAAUGAUCCUAUACCCCUAUAGAACCCCCUAUGUUAAAACUAGUAAUAAGAAAUUACUUCUCUUACAACGCAAGUGUAAAUCAUAAUGGAACAUCCACUGAUAAUUAACAGCUAUAAACUAAAGUAGCACCAAACAAGAAAACCCUACUUAACCAACUGUCAACCUUACACAAGCGCGUCCAAAGAAAGAUUUAAAGAGAAGGAAGGAACUCGGCAAACACUGAUUCCGCCUGUUUACCAAAAACAUCGCCUCUUGAUAACAUAUAAGAGGUCCAGCCUGCCCAGUGACCUAGUUCAACGGCCACGGUAUCCUAACCGUGCGAAGGUAGCAUAAUCACCUGUUUUUUAAUUGAAGACCAGUAUGAAAGGCACCACGAGAAUCUCACUGUCUCCCUUCUUUAAUCAAUGAAACUAAUCUCCCCGUGAAAAAGCGGGGAUGCUUCUACAAGACGAGAAGACCCUUUGGAGCUUAAGACAAAGUAUAAUUAUCGCUUACCUCCCCUCUAACCCACUUCUAAUAGCAUCUAUUUACAAGUCUUUGGUUGGGGCAACCGCGGAGUAAAAAAUAACCUCCUAGAUGAAAAGAAACCUCUUAAACAGAAAGCUACAACUUUAUGUAUCAAUAAAAUGACAUCAAUUGACCCAAUAUUUUUGAUUAACGAACCAAGUUACCCUAGGGAUAACAGCGCAAUCCACUUCGAGAGUCCAUAUCGACAAGUGGGCUUACGACCUCG
rnacentral:rRNA from 1 species